GUCCGCAGUUAAUAUGAACAAAAAUUCUGUUUGAGUGUAAGAUCAUCUCCAAGAGGCGUUUAGAAAGAGGGCUUUACAGUGAGUUAUCCUAGGGGAUACUCAUGGGGUGUUUGAUGGGACUAAAUGGAGCGGGAUGGUUCAUGCUGUUACCUGUGGUGCUCUCGCUCUUGGAGAGAGGUAUCGUGU